rnacentral:snRNA from 1 species
AUCAGAGAUAUGUGAAGGACCC